UCUGAGUGAUUUCCGCUAAGGAAGUCUUUUGGCACCUCUAAAAAUGGUGCAGAAUAAGGGGUGGGCAAGUCUGGUGUCAGCCGCCGCGGUAAUACCAGCACCCCGAGUGGUCGGGACGAUUAUUGGGCCUAAAGCAUCCGUAGCCGGUCCUGCAAGUCCUCCGUUAAAUCCACCCGCUCAACGGUUGGGCCGCGGGGGAUACUACAGGGCUAGGAGGCGGGAGAGGCAAGCGGUACUCGAUGGGUAGGGGUAAAAUCCACUGAUCCAUUGAAGACCACCAGUGGCGAAGGCGGCUUGCCAGAACGCGCUCGACGGUGAGGGAUGAAAGCUGGGGGAGCAAACCGGAUUAGAUACCCGGGUAGUCCCAGCUGUAAACGAUGCAAACUCGGUGUUGGGCUGGCUUCGUGCCAACCCGGUGCCGCAGGGAAGCCGUUAAGUCUGCCGCCUGGGGAGUACGGUCGCAAGACUGAAACUUAAAGGAAUUGGCGGGGGAGC
rnacentral:rRNA from 1 species